rnacentral:rRNA from 1 species
GACGAACGCUGGCGGCGUGCCUAAUACAUGCAAGUCGAACGCAGUGGGGACGGGUGAGUAACACGUGGGUAACCUCCCAUCAGAGGGGGAAAACCUUGGAAACAGGUGCUAAACCGAUACUGAUGGAUGGACCCGCGGUGCAUUAGCUAGUUGGUGAGGGAAAGUCUCACCAAGGCCACGAUGCAUAGCCGGACUGAGAGGUUGAUCGGCCACACGGGGACUGAGACACGGCCCAGAUUCCUACGGGAGGCAGCAGUAGGGAAUCUUGGGCAAUGGACGAAAGUCUGACCGAGCAAUGCCGCGUGAGUGAAGAAGGUGUUCGGAUCGUAAAGCUCUGUUGUUAGAGAAGCGUUAUCUAACCAGAAAGCCACGGCUAACUACGUGCCAGCAGCCGCGGUAAUAC